UACGUAGGUGGCGAGCGUUGUCCGGAUUUACUGGGCGUAAAGCGCGCGCAGGCGGCCGGCCAAGUCUGGGGUGAAAGCUCCCGGCUCAACCGGGAGAGGUCUCCAGAUACUGGCUGGCUUGAGGGGAGCAGAGGAGAGCGGAAUUUCCGGUGUAGCGGUGAUAUGCGUAGAUAUCGGAAGGAACACCAGUGGCGAAGGCGGCUCUCUGGGCUCUCCCUGACGCUGAGGCGCGAAAGCGUGGGGAGCGAACCGG
rnacentral:rRNA from 1 species